CACAAGGCAGAUCCGGCGAGCGCAGCCCAGAACGAUGCGUGAAACGCGGCAUACUAGCGUUCUAUAUGCACUAUUAACCUGCUCGUUACAAGACGAGAAAGGAAAAUAUUUGCUUUGAGACUCAGUCCCGUAACUAUAGGAGCAAUGGCAAACUGCACUGCAGUACACAUCAAAGAACAGGAGGGCUCUUCGACGCCUUCGGAUUGCAGCUUGUCAAGCGAGUCGUCCAGUAGGAGCUCGAAGAACAGAACAGAGCCUGACAGCAUCUUUUGACGAGAGACGGAACCCUAGUUCACAGACGUGGACUAAUGCCCAGAGGAGUGUUCAGAGGGAGGAUGACCUGCUACGUGUGGCGUGUUGGCUCGGCAUCUUUUGACGAGAGACGGAACCCUAGUUCACAGACGUGGACUAAUGCCCAGAGGAGUGUUCAGAGGGAGGAUGACCUGCUACGUGUGGCGUGUUGGCUCGGCAUCUUUUGACGAGAGACGGAACCCUAGUUCACAGACGUGGACUAAUGCCCAGAGGAGUGUUCAGAGGGAGGAUGACCUGCUACGUGUGGCGUGUUGGCUCGGCAUCUUUUGACGAGAGACGGAACCCUAGUUCACAGACGUGGACUAAUGCCCAGAGGAGUGUUCAGAGGGAGGAUGACCUGCUACGUGUGGCGUGUUGGCUCGGCAUCUUUUGACGAGAGACGGAACCCUAGUUCACAGACGUGGACUAAUGCCCAGAGGAGUGUUCAGAGGGAGGAUGACCUGCUACGUGUGGCGUGUUGGCUCGGCAUCUUUUGACGAGAGACGGAACCCUAGUUCACAGACGUGGACUAAUGCCCAGAGGAGUGUUCAGAGGGAGGAUGACCUGCUACGUGUGGCGUGUUGGCUCGGCAUCUUUUGACGAGAGACGGAACCCUAGUUCACAGACGUGGACUAAUGCCCAGAGGAGUGUUCAGAGGGAGGAUGACCUGCUACGUGUGGCGUGUUGGCUCGGCAAACAAAAACCGGUACGGCACUGCCAACGAAGGAUCCUAUUCUGCCCUAAGUGUUCUCAAGCCAGAUCAAGAAAUUACUAUAAUGCGAGAAGAAAUGGCCUUGUAGCGAACGCUCAAACCCGCUCGCGACGACGUCGCCUUAUGAGAGGCAUUUUUUUCCUCCUCUCCUAUUUCCCGAACCGCGCAGCGCAGAGAAUUCGGAAAGCGUUUAUUUCUCAUAACUCACCGAUGGCUUCAACAUAUAUUUUUUUCCCGUUCAUUCGAGACAUCAAGUGUACCGGAUUGUUCGAUUUGAGAUGGAACUAGCCCAAAGCAACCUGGUCCA